CGAGGGGGGCAAAUGUUGUUCGGAAUCACUGGGCGUAAAGGGAGCGUAGGCGGGUUUUUUAAGUCAGGUGUUUAAUCCCGGGGCCCAACCCCGGACCGGCACUUGAAACUGGGAAUCUUGAAUAGUGGAGAGGUCAGUGGAAUUGGGGGUGUAGCGGUGGAAUGCGUAGAGAUCCCCAAGAACACCAGUUGCGAAGGCGGCUGACUGGACACAUAUUGACGCUGGGGCUCGAAAGCAUGGGGAGCAAACAGGAUUAGAUACCCUGGUAGUCCAUGCCAUAAACGAUGAUUACUAGGUUUUGGGCCCGUCAACGGUCCAGAGCCGCAGCUAACGCGUUAAGUAAUCCGCCUGGGGAGUACGGUCGCAAGACUG
rnacentral:rRNA from 1 species